rnacentral:rRNA from 1 species
GACGAACGCUGGCGGCGUGCCUAACACAUGCAAGUCGAGCGAGGUAUUUAUACCUAGCGGCGGACGGGUGAGUAACACGUGGGUAACCUGCCUCAUAGAGGGGAAUAGCCUUCCGAAAGGGAGAUUAAUACCGCAUAAUAUAUACCGGUAGCAUUAAUGGUAUAUCAAAGGAGAAAUCCGCUAUGAGAUGGGCCCGCGGCGCAUUAGCUAGUUGGAGAGGUAACGGCUCACCAAGGCGACGAUGCGUAGCCGACCUGAGAGGGUGAUCGGCCACAUUGGAACUGAGACACGGUCCAGACUCCUACGGGAGGCAGCAGUGGGGAAUAUUGCACAAUGGGGAAACCCUGAUGCAGCAACGCCGCGUGAAUGAUGACGGCCCUUGGGUUGUAAAGUUCUUUGAUUGGGACGAAAUGA